CCCCCUCCCCUUUUUCUUUUUCUUUUCUCGAGUGAGGGUUUUCCCUCUGCUCUUAGUGGGGUCAUGGGAGCGCGGAGGGGCCGCUGAGGAGGUUCUCUUUUUCUUAUCUGGUCUUGAAUGACCAGACCUUAAUUGGUGUCAGGACGAGGUCCUUCUCCUAUUUCUGAUGUAAUCGAUUUCAGCUCAGGUUAGGACGUGGUUCUUCUCCUGUUCC
rnacentral:lncRNA from 1 species